AUAGUAUGAUUUUGGUAUUUUGCAAAAGUACUUUUGAUGAAUAUUUAAUCAUCCAUACUU
rnacentral:tRNA from 1 species